AACGAACGCUGGCGGCAGGCCUAACACAUGCAAGUCGAACGCCCUAGCAAUAGGGAGUGGCAGACGGGUGAGUAACGCGUGGGAACCUUCCCUGUGGUGCGGAAUAACUCGCCGAAAGGCGUGCUAAUACCGCAUAAGCCCGCAAGGGGAAAGAUUUAUCGCCAUAGGAUGGGCCCGCGUAGGAUUAGCUAGUUGGUGAGGUAAUGGCUCACCAAGGCGACGAUCCUUAGCGGUUUGAGAGAAUGACCAGCCACACUGGGACUGAGACACGGCCCAGACUCCUACGGGAGGCAGCAGUGGGGAAUCUUGGACAAUGGGCGCAAGCCUGAUCCAGCCAUGCCGCGUGAGUGACGGAGGCCUUCGGUUGUAAAG
rnacentral:rRNA from 1 species